UACGUAGGUGGCGAGCGUUGUCCGGAUUUAUUGGGUUUAAAGGGUGCGUAGGCGGCCCUAUAAGUCAGUGGUGAAAUAUCGCAGCUUAACUGUGAGGGUGCCAUUGAUACUGUAGGGCUUGAGUGAAUUUGAGGUAGGCGGAAUUGACGGUGUAGCGGUGAAAUGCUUAGAUAUCGUCAAGAACACCGAUAGUGAAGACAGCUUACCGAGCUUCAACUGACGCUGAGGCACGAAAGUGUGGGGAUCAAACAGG
rnacentral:rRNA from 1 species